rnacentral:lncRNA from 1 species
AAAAAACAAGGGAAUACAUUACGAGUUUUGGCAUCAUGCGUCACCUGCAAAAUAAGGGAAUACAUUUCAAAUUUUGGCAUCAGGCGCCCACCAGGAAAUAAGGGAAUACAUUUCAAGUUUGGCAUCAGGCGUCCACCUGGAAAACAAUGGAAUACAUUCAAGUUUUGUCAUCAGCCGUCCACCUGGAAAACAAGGGAAUCUAUUCAAGUUUUGGCAUCAGCCGUCCACCUGGAAAACAAGGGAAUACAUUCAAGUUUUGGCAUCAGGCACCCACCUAGAAAAUAAGGGAAUAAAUUCAAGUUUUGGCAUCAGGCGCCCUCCUGGAAAACUAGGGAAUACAUUCAAAUUUUGGAAUCAGGCACCCACCUGGUAAACAAGGGAAUAUAUUUCAAAUUUUGGCACCAGGCGCCCACCAGGAAACAAGGGAAUUCAUUCCAUGUUUGGCAUCAGGCGUCCACCUGGAAAACAAUGGAAUACAUUCAAGUUUUGUCAUCAGGCGCCCACUUGUAAAACAAGAGAAUACAUUAAAGUUUUGGCAUCAGGAGUCCACCUGGAAAACAAGGGAAUACAUUCAAGUUUUGGCAUCAGACACCCACCUGGAAAACAAGGGAAUACAUUCAAGCUUUGGCAACAGGCGCCCACCUGGAAAAUAGAGGAAUGCAUUCCAAGUUUGGCAUCAGGCGCCCACCUGGAAAAUAAGGGAAUACAUUCAAGUUUUGGAAUCUGGCGCCCACCUGGAAAAUAAGGGAAUACAUUCAAGUUUUGGAAUC